rnacentral:rRNA from 1 species
AACGAGUGCUGGCGGCAUGCCUAACACAUGCAAGUCGAACGAGAUCUUCGGGUCUAGUGGCGCACGGGUGCGUAACGCGUGGGAAUCUGCCCUUUGGUUCGGAAUAACAGUUGGAAACGACUGCUAAUACCGGAUGAUGACGAAAGUCCAAAGAUUUAUCGCCAGAGGAUGAGCCCGCGUAGGAUUAGCUAGUUGGUGUGGUAAAGGCGCACCAAGGCGACGAUCCUUAGCUGGUCUGAGAGGAUGAUCAGCCACACUGGGACUGAGACACGGCCCAGACUCCUACGGGAGGCAGCAGUGGGGAAUAUUGGACAAUGGGCGAAAGCCUGAUCCAGCAAUGCCGCGUGAGUGAUGAAGGCCUUAGGGUUGUAAAGCUCUUUUACCCGGGAUGAUAAUGACGGUACCGGGAGAAUAAGCUCCGGCUAACUCCGUGCCAGCAGCCGCCGUAA